ACUUAAAUUGAAGAGUUUGAUCAUGGCUCAGAUUGAACGCUGGCGGCAGGCCUAACACAUGCAAGUCGAGCGGUAGCACAGAGAGCUUGCUCUCGGGUGACGAGCGGCGGACGGGUGAGUAAUGUCUGGGAAACUGCCUGAUGGAGGGGGAUAACUACUGGAAACGGUAGCUAAUACCGCAUAAUGUCGCAAGACCAAAGUGGGGGACCUUCGGGCCUCAUGCCAUCAGAUGUGCCCAGAUGGGAUUAGCUAGUAGGUGGGGUAAUGGCUCACCUAG
rnacentral:rRNA from 1 species